UACGAAGGGGGCAAGCGUUGUUCGGAAUUACUGGGCGUAAAGGGCGCGCAGGCGGCCCUUGAAGUCAGAUGUGAAAGCCCCGGGCUCAACCUGGGAAUUGCAUUUGAGACUGCUCUGCUCGGGUGCGGAAGAGGGAAGCGGAAUUUCCGGUGUAGCGGUGAAAUGCGUAGAUAUCGGAAGGAACACCAGUGGCGAAAGCGGCUUCCUGGUCCGACACCGACGUUCAGGCACGAAAGCGUGGGGAGCAAACAGG
rnacentral:rRNA from 1 species